AUCUAGAAAGGUUGGAUAUUCCCGGGUCGUUCAUUGAUAAGACCACACACUACGUCAAAUAGGAUGAAACUGUUUUUACUGGUGAACUUGAUUGGUGGAUUCAGCCUGAUACAAUCUGAAUUCAAGUGCAUUUGCAAUGUGAACCAUCCCAAUGUGCAUAUCACCAAAUGUCCAUCCAUCCGAGCUCAGGUCAACGGCAUCAUAUAUCCAAAAGAAGCCAACAACAACUUCCAUGGUAUCGUGGACACAUCCCCGUCCACGUGUAAGCCAAUCUAUUCAGGUAUUAAGACAAUACCAGGAUGGGUCGCCGUGGACGAUAACAACCUGGUUGGGUUUAUAUUCAAAGACGUGGGUUUACUGGAGAUCUCCUGCCCUGGUAACUACACACAUAGAAGAGACAUAAUCAUACCGACUGACUGUUCUGAAGCCAUACACAUCGUUGCCCACGGAGGUCAACAUUUUGCUCCUAUAACAAAUAAACCCACUAGUAUGUCAACAACAACUGAAAAGAGGGACAACGAUUACAACGACGACGAAUGAACCUACAACAACAACUACUACAACAACAAUAACAACAACACCUACAACAACAACACCCACAGCGACAACACCCACAACAACAACACCCACAACAACAACGACGAUGGGAAAACCAACAACACAUUUUCCGAAGUGUCGAGAUGAUGUCAUAUUUUCAUUGGCCCUAAAUGAGUCGGUGGAACACUUUGGAGCGGAGAGAUGUCCUAAUGAUUCUCCAACAUCAGCCGAAGCCGUGGUAAUGGAAUACUGUGGCGUUCCCCUGAUGUCCCAUUGGAAACAGGGUGAAAAGGUUAUAGACAAUUGUGAUAGGAUACCACGCUUCACUCCAGUGGCCGUCUAUAUCAGCGGGUUACUGAUGGGCAGGCCCGCUAUCUUUCACUCAUGCAAAGAUGGUGGAAUUGAGCUGAUUCAGCAGACGUGUGGUUCUCCGGUCAAUCUACAUCUUGAACACCGCCUUGCUGCCUUCUAUCAUGUUCUUACAUGGGCAUAAUAGCUACCAGUAACAUGUCAGGGUGUGUUUAGUUUGUUUCGUUGUCGAAAAUAAACGAAAUGAUUAUUUGCCAUUA